rnacentral:rRNA from 1 species
UAGGGAAUCUUCGGCAAUGGGGGGAACCCUGAACGAGCAACGCCGCGUGAGUGAAGAAGGUUUUCGGAUCGUAAAGCUCUGUUGUUAAGGAAGAACGAGUGUGAGAAUGGAAAGUUCAUACUGUGACGGUACUUAACCAGAAAGGGACGGCUAACUACGUGCCAGCAGCCGCGGUAAUACGUAGGUCCCGAGCGUUGUCCGGAUUUAUUGGGCGUAAAGCGAGCGCAGGCGGUUAGAUAAGUCUGAAGUUAAAGGCAGUGGCUCAACCAUUGUAGGCUUUGGAAACUGUUUAACUUGAGUGCAGAAGGGGAGAGGGGAAUUCCAUGUGUGGCGGUGAAAGGCGUAGAUAUAUGGAGGAACACCAGUGGCGAAGGCGACUCUCUGGUCUGUAACUGACGCUGAGGCUCGAAAGCGUGGGUAGCAAACAGG